rnacentral:ncRNA from 1 species
UGACCUCAGAUCAGGCAAGGCUACCCGCUGAAUUUAAGCAUAUUAAUAAGCGGAGGAAAAGAAACUAACAAGGAUUCCCCUAGUAAUGGCGAAUGAAGCGGGAACAGCUCAAAUUUAAAAUCUCCGUUGCUUGCAACGGCGAAUUGUAGUUUCGAGAAGCACUUUCUCGGCGGAUCCGAGGUCGUCCAAGUUGCUUGGAACAGCACGUCGUAGAGGGUGAAAACCCCGUCUGCGGCGACCUCGGCCGUUCACGAUGUGCUUUCGACGAGUCGGGUUGUUUGGGAAUGCAGCCCAAAAUGGGUGGUAAACUCCAUCUAAAGCUAAAUAUUGGCACGAGACCGAUAGCGAACAAGUACCGUGAGGGAAAGAUGAAAAGCACUUUGAAAAGAGAGUUAAAAAGUACGUGAAACCGUUAAAAGGGAAACGAAUGGGGUUAGCAAUGCGUCGUGCGAGAUUCAGCCGGUGGGUGGGCCAGGCGGGCGGUUGGCGGAUCUGAAUGGACCGCUGCCGUUCGGGUUGGUUUCCCGACCGUCGCACUCCUCGCAGGCGCGCGCCAAC